UAGGGAAUCUUCGGCAAUGGACGAAAGUCUGACAGAGCAACGCCGCGUGAGUGAAGAAGGUUCUCGGAUCGUAAAACUCUGUUGUUAGAGAAGAACAAGGACGUUAGUAACUGAACGUCCCCUGACGGUAUCUAACCAGAAAGCCACGGCUAACUACGUGCCAGCAGCCGCGGUAAUACGUAGGUGGCAAGCGUUGUCCGGAUUUAUUGGGCGUAAAGCGAGCGCAGGCGGUUUCUUAAGUCUGAUGUGAAAGCCCCCGGCUCAACCGGGGAGGGUCAUUGGAAACUGGGAGACUUGGGUGCAGAAGGGGAGAGUGGAAUUCCGUGUGUAGCGGUGAAAUGCGUAGAUAUAUGGAGGAACACGAGUGGCGAAGGCGGCUCUCUGGUCUGUAACUGACGCUGAGGCUCGAAAGCGGGGGGAGCAAACAGG
rnacentral:rRNA from 1 species